AGCUAAACAACAAGAUCAGGGUGGCGAUGGUCAGUUCUUGAGCUUCGAACGGGCAGUAAGCUAAAAAACAAGAUUAGUGUGGCGAUGGUCAGUUCUCGAGCUUCGAACGGGCAGAAAGCUAAACAACAAGAUCAGGGCGGCGAUGCUCAGUUCUUGAGCUUCGAACGGGCAGAAAGCUAAACAACAAGAUCAGGGUGGCGAUGGUCAGUUCUUGAGCUUAGAACGGGCAGAAAG